AGAUUUUGAAUGACAUAACUGGAAAUCUGGAUGCCAGAAAAGCAUGCAGUGGGGCGAUGAAACUUCACAGGAAGUAUCUAAAAAAGGCCAAGAAGACUUGACAUUGAACGUAUGAAUUUUUGGCGUAGUCAAGAAAUAACUGGACAUUUUUCAUAGCUUCAAUUGAUUUGGCAAUAGAAGAUAACUAUACUUCCUUUUGAAUCUUGGCUCAGAGCUCACAGAUUUGUUCUCUCCAACCGGCCAAAAAGAAGAAAAAAAAUUCAAAAAAAGGCCAGUGGAAGGAUUUGUUGUAUGUAAAAUCGAUCGUGAUUGCUUGUAUAUCCAAAGCAUUCUUUGCAAGACAUUAUAUGAAACAUCAGUUGUUUUGUAUUUGUUAUGAUGAGGAGAAAAGGUUUUUUGGUUCA